ACCUAAUGAUAUAGGCAUUUACGGGGCCGAUCCCUAAAACGCUCCUAAGUCUCAAAGAAAAGUUCCCCAUUUGUCUGUGUGAAACUCAUGAUUGCCCUUCGCAGUU